GACGAACGCUGGCGGCGUGCUUAACACAUGCAAGUCGAACGGAAAGGCCCUGCUUUUGUGGGGUGCUCGAGUGGCGAACGGGUGAGUAACACGUGAGUAACCUGCCCUUGACUUUGGGAUAACUUCAGGAAACUGGGGCUAAUACCGGAUAGGAGCUCCUGCUGCAUGGUGGGGGUUGGAAAGUUUCGGCGGUUGGGGAUGGACUCGCGGCUUAUCAGCUUGUUGGUGGGGUAGUGGCUUACCAAGGCUUUGACGGGUAGCCGGCCUGAGAGGGUGACCGGCCACAUUGGGAAUGAGAUACGGCCCAGACUCCUACGGGAGGCAGCAGUGGGGAAGAUUGCACAAUGGGCGGAAGCCUGAUGCAGCAACGCCGCGUGCGGGAUGACGGCCUUCGGGUUGUAAACCGCUUUCGCCUGUGACGAAGCGUGAGUGACGGUAAUGGGUAAAGAAGCACCGGCUAACUACGU
rnacentral:rRNA from 1 species